GAUAAACGCUGGCGGCGUGCAUCAGGCAUGCAAGUCGAACGAUUUUUAUCGGUUCGCCGGUAACGAUAGUGGCGGACGGGUGAGUAACACGUAAGUAACCUGCCCAGAAGUGGGGAAUAACUGGCCGAAAGGUUUGCUAAUUCCGCAUGUGGUGGGGCUCCCACGGGAGCUUCACAAAAGGCGAAAGUCGCUUCUGGAGGGGCUUGCGGCCGAUUAGCUUGUUGGUGGGGUAAUGGCCUACCAAGGCUCCGAUCGGUAGCUGGUCUGAGAGGACGGUCAGCCACAUGGGGACUGAGAUACGGCCCCAACUCCUACGGGAGGCAGCAGCUAGGAAUAUUGGGAAUGGGCGAAAGCCUGACCCAGCAACGCCGCGUGGGCGAUGAAGGCUUUCGGGUCGUAAAGCCCUUUUGCAGGGGACGAUGAUGACGGUACCCUGCGAAUAAGCCACGGCUAACUACGUGCCAGCAGCCGCGGUAAUACGUAGGUGGCGAGCGUUGUCCGGAUUUACUGGGCGUAAAGGGCGUGCAGGCGGUUUGCUAAGUUUAGGGUGAAAGCUCCCGGCUCAACUGGGAGAGGUCCUUAGAUACUGGCAGACUUGAGGGAGGUAGAGGA
rnacentral:rRNA from 1 species